ACACCGCUGCCUGGAUUGUAAUGACACACGUUACUUUACAUGUAAUCAGAUUACAUCACAGGUGAUCUGGUCCGUGUGGGCGUGUACCUGACCACGGUGGGAAACAGCUCGAUGCUGUACAGCGUGGAGAUGAAGAUGGCCGCCAGGAUGCAGAGUUUCCCGAGCAGAGCCAGACUCAUCACCAGCACCGGCUCAACUGCACAAAAUCAAUAUCACCUGUCAAUAUCAAUCAGAUCAAUAAUACCAUACAUUCCUGACCACGCCCACUUCCACGCUGCCCUCCCACGGUUGCUUCCUGCAUCUUGCUCCUGAUUUGUUGCUACAUUACGAAGACGUCCCCAAACCAUUUUGUGAUGUUCACAAAUCAUCCAUUGAUUCUUUUAGAGAAUAAUUGUCAGCUGACUAAGAUCUGACAGAUAUCUUGGAACGGUCAAAGCCGUCAUUGGACGUGUGGGAACGUUCUUCUUCUUCUUCUCACCGUCGUAUCUGGACAGGAGUAAGGACAGGAAACAGGCGGCACUGCUCAGGAAAAGAGCCACCAUGCUGAUUGGCCGACGCCCCAGGCGAACCAACGGGACGAGCAGGCAGGGGGCUUCUGAUAGGCCGGAGAAGAACUGGGCGGAGUAGACGCCGAUGCCAAAGGAGCCGAUGUUCAUACAGAUGCCGAAGUACGUCAGCGCUGAAGCUGAACUGCAGAACAAACACAAAUAUUAAUAUUUAAUUCUGUAAAUAUUUUACAAAUAUUAUGAUUAUUCUUUCAAUGAUACUAUUUCAUUUUUAAAUGAAUUAAAUAUUACAACAUGAAUCUGCCCGCGACCCUUAAAUGGAUAAAGCAAGACGAUGAAUGAAUGAAUGAACAUGAAUCUGGAAAGUUUUAUGAUUUUAUUAUGUGCUGUAAUUUCAUUCUCCAAAUUCGCAGGUUUAUAUUUCAUUUUAUUUUUACUGUUGAAUAUAUAACAUAUUAUGACUUCAUAUUCAAGAAAUAUAAAUGUAACUAUCUUCAUCCUUUAUUAAAUAUCGUAAAUUAA